rnacentral:rRNA from 1 species
AGCGAACGCUGGCGGCAGGCCUAACACAUGCAAGUCGAACGGACCCUUCGGGGUUAGUGGUGGACGGGUGAGUAACACGUGGGAACGUGCCUUUAGGUUCGGAGUAGCUCCUGGAAACGGGUGGUAAUGCCGAAUGUGCCCUUCGGGGGAAAGAUUUAUCGCCUUUAGAGCGGCCCGCGUCUGAUUAGCUAGUUGGUGAGGUAAUGGCUCACCAAGGCGACGAUCAGUAGCUGGUCUGAGAGGAUGACCAGCCACAUUGGGACUGAGACACGGCCCAAACUCCUACGGGAGGCAGCAGUGGGGAAUCUUGCGCAAUGGGCGAAAGCCUGACGCAGCCAUGCCGCGUGGAUGAUGAAGGUCUUAGGAUUGUAAAAUCCUUUCACCGGUGAAGAUAAUGACUGUAGCCGGAGAAGAAGCCCCGGCUAACUUCGUGCCAGCCGCCGCCGUAAUAC